CGGCUUUCCUAUUUUGUUGGUUUCUAGGGGAGCCGUAAUGAUUAAUAGGGUCAGUCGGGGGCAUCAGUAUUCAAUUGUCAGAGGUGAAAUUCUUGGAUUUACUGAAGACUAACUACUGCGAAAGCAUUUGCCAAGGAUGUUUUCAUUAAUCAGUGAACGAAAGUUAGGGGAUCGAAGACGGUCAGAUACCGUCGUAGUCUUAACCAUAAACUAUGCCGACUAGGGAUCGGGCGAUGUUACUAUCUUGACUCGCCCGGCACCUUACGAGAAAUCAAAGUUUUUGGGUUCUGGGGGGAGUAUGGUCGCAAGGCUGAAACUUAUAGAAAUUGACGGAAGGGCACCACAAGGCGUGGAACCUGCGGCUUAAUUUGACUCAACACGGGGAAACUCACCAGGUCCAGAUACAAGUAGGAUUGACAGAUWGAGAGCUCUUUCUUGAUUUUGUAGUUGGUGGUGCAUGGCCGUUCUUAGUUGGUGGAGUGAUUUGUCUGCUUAAUUGCGAUAACGAACGAGACCUUAACCUGCUAAAUAGCCCGGCUCGCUUUGGCGGGUCGCCGGCUUCUUAGAGGGACUAACGGCUCAAGCCGAUGGAAGUUUGAGGCAAUAACAGGUCUGUGAUGCCCUUAGAUGUUCUGGGCUGCACGCGCGUUACACUGACAGAGCCAUCGAGUUUUUUUCCUUGGCCGGAAGGUCUGGGUAAUCUUGUUAAACUCUGUCGUGC
rnacentral:rRNA from 1 species